rnacentral:lncRNA from 1 species
UCUGUAUUCAUUAUCCCUUCAAUAACUAUCAUGCCACAUAUUUCAAAAUGGCUCCACAGAAAAGAUGCCGAAGAAGACAGCUAAAACGUUCAUGGGUGAGGGUGGCAAGAAGGCUGAUGAUGCUGUUUUACACCUAGAGGUCUUAUGGAACCAGGACUGCAUUUGUACGCGGAACAAACAACUUUGGGGGAUGGUUUAGUAAUUGCCUUUGGUAGGGCUUGUCUCACAUUCAUUAAAAACUCCAGGCAAG